rnacentral:lncRNA from 1 species
UCACCAUUAAUCCUUCCAUUUUCAUAUUUCUUUUUCUUAUUUAAAAUAUUUUCUUCGUCCAUAAAAUUACCCAAAAAUAUUUUUCACUUUUCUUAACGUUUUACUUAAUUUUAUAUAAUUUUUAUUUUCGUAUUUUUUUAAUAUUAAUAUUUUAUUUUAAUUAUUUUUUCUAAAUGGUCCAUUUUAACACACUUUUUUUUAUUGAUUUUAUUUUUAUGACUUAAAAUUAUUGUUAGCAUUUGAUUUUUGGGAUAGAGGUUGAACACUGUCUCAUGAUCAACCUGACCUUUUCUUGGAAUUUUAUUUCGCAUUUUCAAUUUAUUUUGGAUUUAUU